UUAAUCACAACAAAUCAUGAUGUGAACAGCAAUGGAAAAGUUUAAUCAUUGGACAUUUGUACUUAUUUUCAACUUAAGCUCUAGUUUUAAGUUUUUAUUGCUUAGCUCCCCUUUAAAAAUACAUAAAGGCACAUUUCUAUAGUUUUCCGUUUUCUCACGUAGAACAGACAAGACUUCCAAUUUUACUAUGACUGGAAAAAACUCAACAAAGAUAAUUUCAAGCAUGUCACUUACUUCUUUGUACAGGUUAGCUUAUGCUAACUUGGAGGUGCCUUCUCAACAUUAACCCUGAUAUUAGAA
rnacentral:lncRNA from 1 species